rnacentral:rRNA from 1 species
GCCAGACUCCUACGGGAGGCAGCAGUGGGGAAUAUUGCACAAUGGGGGAACCCUGAUGCAGCGACGCCGCGUGAGCGAUGAAGUAUUUCGGUAUGUAAAGCUCUAUCAGCAGGGAAGAAAAUGACGGUACCUGACUAAGAAGCCCCGGCUAACUACGUGCCAGCAGCCGCGGUAAUACGUAGGGGGCAAGCGUUAUCCGGAUUUACUGGGUGUAAAGGGAGCGUAGACGGUUCUGCAAGCCAGAUGUGAAAGCCCGGGGCUCAACCCCGGGACUGCAUUUGGAACUGUAAGGCUAGAGUGUCGGAGAGGCAGGCGGAAUUCCUAGUGUAGCGGUGAAAUGCGUAGAUAUCAGGAGGAACACCGGUGGCGAAGGCGGCCUGCUGGACGGAUACUGACGCUGAGGCCCGAAAGCGUGGGGAGCGAACAGGAUUAGAUACCCGUGUAGU